UUUCCGUAGGUGAACCUGCGGAAGGAUCAUUAUUGGAUUUUGAAACUUCAGGCUGCUGCUGGCUCUCCUCGGAGGGCAUGUGCACGCUUGUUGUCCAUUAUUUCUCCCACUGUGCACAAAUUGUAGACCUUUCAGUAGGCCUAUGUCGUUUUUCACAAUCUCUGAAUGUAAUAGAAUGGUUUUGAAUCUUGGGAAAUACAAUACAACUUUCAGCAACGGAUCUCUAGGCUCUCGCGUCGAUGAAGAACGCAGC
rnacentral:misc_RNA from 1 species